UACGUAGGGUGCAAGCGUUUAAUCGGAAUUACUGGGCGUAAAGCGUGCGCAGGCGGUUUUGUAAGUCUGUCGUGAAAGCCCCCGGGCUCAACCUGGGAAUUGCGAUGGAGACUGCAAGGCUUGAAUCUGGCAGAGGGGGGUAGAAUUCCACGUGUAGCAGUGAAAUGCGUAGAGAUGUGGAGGAACACCGAUGGCGAAGGCAGCCCCCUGGGUCAAGAUUGACGCU
rnacentral:rRNA from 1 species